UACGUAGGGCGCAAGCGUUGUCCGGAAUUAUUGGGCGUAAAGAGCUCGUAGGCGGUUUGUCGCGUCUGCCGUGAAAGUCCGGGGCUCAACUCCGGAUCUGCGGUGGGUACGGGCAGACUAGAGUGAUGUAGGGGAGACUGGAAUUCCUGGUGUAGCGGUGAAAUGCGCAGAUAUCAGGAGGAACACCGAUGGCGAAGGCAGGUCUCUGGGCCGAUACUGACGCUGAGGAGCGAAAGCGUGGGGAGCGAACAGG
rnacentral:rRNA from 1 species